rnacentral:rRNA from 1 species
AUUGAACGCUGGCGGAAUGCUUUACACAUGCAAGUCGAACGGUAGAGGGGGCAACCCCUCGAGAGUGGCGAACGGGUGAGUAAUGCAUCGGAACGUGCCCAGUCGUGGGGGAUAACGCAGCGAAAGCUGUGCUAAUACCGCAUACGAUCUAUGGAUGAAAGCGGGGGAUCGCAAGACCUCGCGCGAUUGGAGCGGCCGAUGUCAGAUUAGCUAGUUGGUGGGGUAAAGGCCCACCAAGGCGACGAUCUGUAGCUGGUCUGAGAGGACGACCAGCCACACUGGGACUGAGACACGGCCCAGACUCCUACGGGAGGCAGCAGUGGGGAAUUUUGGACAAUGGGCGCAAGCCUGAUCCAGCAAUGCCGCGUGCCAGGAAGAAGGCCUUCGGGUUGUAACUAGCUUUGUUACGGUAACGAAAGGUUUAGGCCUAUAAGCUGAGCUC